GUACGUAGGGUGCAAGCGUUGUCCGGAAUUAUUGGGCGUAAAGAGCUCGUAGGCGGUCUGUCGCGUCGGCUGUGAAAACCCGGGGCUCAACCCCGGGCCUGCAGUCGAUACGGGCAGACGUAGAGUGCGGUAGGGGAGACUGGAAUUCCUGGUGUAGCGGUGAAAUGCGCAGAUAUCAGGAGGAACACCGGUGGCGAAGGCGGGUCUCUGGGCCGUAACUGACGCUGAGGAGCGAAAGCGUGGGGAGCGAACAGG
rnacentral:rRNA from 1 species